rnacentral:rRNA from 1 species
AGUGGCGGACGGGUGAGUAACGCGUGAGUAACCUGCCUCUAAGAGGGGAAUAACAUUCUGAAAAGAAUGCUAAUACCGCAUAAUAUAUAUUUAUCGCAUGGUAGAUAUAUCAAAGAUUUAUCGCUUAGAGAUGGACUCGCGUCCGAUUAGUUAGUUGGUGAGGUAACGGCUCACCAAGACCGCGAUCGGUAGCCGGACUGAGAGGUUGAACGGCCACAUUGGGACUGAGACACGGCCCAGACUCCUACGGGAGGCAGCAGUGGGGAAUAUUGCACAAUGGGGGAAACCCUGAUGCAGCGACGCCGCGUGAGCGAAGAAGUAUUUCGGUAUGUAAAGCUCUAUCAGCAGGGAAGAAGAAUGACGGUACCUGACUAAGAAGCACCGGCUAAAUACGUGCCAGCAGCCGCGGUAAUACGUAUGGUGCAAGCGUUAUCCGGAUUUACUGGGUGUAAAGGGAGCGCAGGCGGUGCGGCAAGUCUGAUGUGAAAGCCCGGGGCUCAACCCCGGUACUGCAUUGGAAACUGUCGUACUAGAGUGUCGGAGGGGUAAGUGGAAUUCCUAGUGUAGCGGUGAAAUGCGUAGAUAUUAGGAGGACACCAGUGGCGAAGGCGGCUUACUGGACGAUAACUGACGCUGAGG